UAUGUGAUCGUCUCUCGCAUAUCAAUAAGCGGAGGAAAAGAAACUAACAAGGAUUCCCCUAGUAACGGCGAGUGAAGCGGGAAGAGCUCAAAUUUGAAAUCUUAAAGGGUUUCCCUUUACGAAUUGUAGUUUAAAGAAGUGUUUUCUGUUGAGGUUUUGGUAAAAGUUCUUUGGAAUAGGACAUCAUAGAGGGUGAGAAUCCCGUAUUUGACCUUUACUUUCAUACUUUGUGAUACACUUUCAAAGAGUCGGAUUGUUUGGGAAUGCAGUCCAAAAUGGGUGGUAAAUUUCAUCUAAAGCUAAAUAUUGGCGAGAGACCGAUAGCGAACAAGUACCGUGAGGGAAAGAUGAAAAGAACUUUGAAAAGAGAGUUAAACAGUACGUGAAAUUGUCAAAAGGGAAGCGUUUGACACCAGUGUUGUUUUUCUGAAAAUCAAUUAAAGAACUGUUUAUGCUAAGCUGUUUAGACUUUAUCAGCUAAUCUGUUUAGUUUUGAGUUUUUCUUUAAUGCACUUUUCAGUUAACAAGUACAACAUCAAUUUCUUUUGCUGUAAAAAAGCUUGAGGAAGGCUGGCUUGAGAUUCGUCUUAAGUGUUUAUAGCCUCUUGCCUAUGCAGUCGGAGAGAUUGAGGUCUGCAGCGUAGAUCCUUCGGGGCUAAAUGCAUUUGUGCUAAGUUAUAGCAUUUUAUAGACAACUUGUUGACUAUGAUUUGUCUUGUAGCUUACUCGCUUAUGCUAUUUUACCUACGCUUAGGAUGUUGAGUAGCGACAUACGCAC
rnacentral:rRNA from 1 species